CUAAUUUGCUUCCCUAAAUUUAUCAUUCUCUCUCUUCCUCAAUUGUUGCUUUCACGCCAUGUAACAUCAAUAGAAGAGCGCUUCAUCUUCAUUUUGGGAUAAAGCUUGACCUCUUCAUCGAUUUCCUGCAGCAAAUUCACCUUGAAAUCUGGGGAUUUUGAAAAAAGCUUUUGAUAUAAACUCUUUGGGAAGAAUAGGCAAGGGUAUUAUCUUUGCUCCUUUCCAAUUUUACUUUCUUUCUUGCCAUUUUUGGCUUAUGUUCCUGCACCAUCUGCCUUUGUUUGUCAUCCAUUGAAAGUGGAUUCAAAUGUUUCAAAUUCAAACAACCAAUUUACAUUCAAAUGACCAAAAAAUCCCGCCCAAUGUUUCAAGGAGAAACGCCCUAUUUUGUCACUAUAAAUAUCAGCUUUGGCAUUCAUUUUUGGGACCAUGCUUUUCUAUCUUCACAACACCUUUAACCAUUGUUCUUUUGUCCUAAAUAUCGUCUUUGCAUUCUCUUUGGAUCUAGAUUGAAACACUGUUUUCAAGCUUGCUCAAGUUCGUCAUUGUUUGAACAUAGAUCUUCGACCAAAGCACCCGUUUACCGCUCCGUAACAGGACCGAGCACCAAGUACCGUAGAUGAUAUAUCGAGCCUACUGCAGCCACUUUCGGAGACUAGGGUGAAUAUAUGUCGUUCUAAGAUCAUUUAUGUCUCCUUCAUCUUGAAUGACCCAUCUUUUUGUACUUUUGAGACUAGCCGAUGUUGUAUAUAUUUUUGGUCCACUUUUGGGACUUGUAUUCAUUUUAUUUUGGCAGCAACUCUGUACUAGUGACUUCCAGAUUCUGGAAGGGAUUCAGUCUUUUGUAUUUUGUAUAUAUUUAUCUAGUUUCUCCUUAUUUUGA